UUAGAACUAGGAAGUGCGUCUCCUAUGAAUAAAAUCUCGAUUUAGGAAGUGCGUCUCCUAAAAACUUGAAAGCCCUUGAUUAGGAAGUGCGUCUCCUACGGGUAAACUUCAAAAAACUAGACUAGGUAUUGUGUCUCCUACGGUCGAACUUAAAAUGAAUCAAACUAGGAAGUGCAUCUCCUAAGGGUGAAAUCUCAAUCCCGGAAGUGCGUCUCCUAAAAUAAAGUAUAACCUGAAAAAGUCAAACUAGGAAAUGCGUCUCCUAAAGCAAAAUUAUAACCUGGGCAAACCAGACUAGGAAGUGUGUCUCCUAAUGAUGAAAACUUAAUUCAGGAAGUGCGUUUCCUGUGCAUGAAAUUAAACUUAGGAAGUGCGUCUCCUAGGGGUAAAAUAGUCUUAGGAAGUGUGUCUCCUAUGGGUGAAACCUUAACGAUUUUGAACUAGGAAGUGUGUCUCCUAUGAAUGAAAAUAAUUUAGGAAGUGCGUCUCCUAUGGGUGAAAUCUUAAUUUAGGAAGUGCGUCUCCUAUGGGCAAAACUAAACUUUAAGGAAGUGCGUCUCCUAUUGGGUACAAUAAACUUAGGAAGUGCGUCUCCUGUGGGUACAAUAAACUUAGGAAGUGCGUCUCCUAUGGGUAGAACUGAACUUAGGAAGUGCGUCUCCUAUGGUAAAACUGAACUUAGGAAGUGCGUCUCCUAUUGGUAGAACUGAACUUAGGAAGUGCGUCUCCUAUGGUAAAACUGAACUUUAGGAAGUGCGUCUCCUAUGGUAAAACUGAACUUUAGGAA
rnacentral:lncRNA from 1 species